AGAGACAGAGAAGAGAGAAGAUUUUGCUUUAUUUAUUCAACCGCUCUCUCUCUCUCUCUCUCUCUCUCUCUCUAAAGUUUCCAAUUUUUCUAUCUUUCUUGCCUACCUUAGAAAAAAGUAUUUAAUUUGAGCUAAAAAUUCUCAUUCUUAUUAAAGCUUUUUUUGGUCUGAGAUUUGGAUCCAUUCACCAAACGAACGUACUGCGAGAGCUUCACUCUCUUUAAAACAGAUAAGAGACUUGUCCGAAGAAUAGCGUAGAAUCAAAAAAGGAUGUCAAUGCCACUGCUGCAACGUGGCACCUCAGGAGGAGGAGGAGCACGAGUUUCCGACAAUCUCAGAGACUCUCAAAUGAAGGACAAAACCACCACCACCAACGUGAGGUUUCCUUUGCUUUCCUCUUUACCAACGAACAAGGCUGAUGAUCCUUACACGCCAAGGAACAAGCAGAAGUUCAUGCUUCUGUUUCUCAAGACCACUCUGGCUCUUGUUGUCCUUCUUGCUCUCGCUGGCUCCUUCUGGUGGACCGUCUCUAUCAUCUCCACGACCUCUUCUUCUUCUUCCACUGGUCAUGUGUAUCAUCGUAACAGCUACAGGAGAUUACAGGAGCAGCUUGUUUUCUGACCUGUUGGAUAUUGGAGACAUCUUCGUAGGUCCCACUAGGUGGAAAGAGUUGAGUAUUGUGGUGUAGAGUCUGAGAGUUACGUUCCUUGCUUUAACGUUUCUGAGAGUUAUGAUCGGUUUUGUGGGUCGAGACAGGGGUGUUUGGUUCCACCACUGUGGAUUAUAAGGUUCCUCUGAGGUGGCCAACGGGUAAAGAUGUUAUCUGGUUUCGUAAUGUUAAGAUCACUGCUGAUGAAGUGUUGACUUCUGGUAGUAUUAACAAGAGGAUGAUGAUGUUGGAUGAUGAUCAAGUAUCUUUCCGCUCUGCAUCUCCUAUGUUUGAUGAGAUUGA